rnacentral:lncRNA from 1 species
AAUACUCACCGCAGCCAGAGCCCACAUCCCUUCUCCAUGAGCUAUGCUAUGUCCCUACCCACCUAAGGAAACUCUUAGUCAUGUGCUUGCCCCAGUCCUGUCUUCCCUGAGAAUUCAGCAAUGAAGAAUUCCACAUUUCAGUGACCCAGCAUGAGAAAAGGGAAACCCACCUCUAACCUUUGGUGAUCUCAGCCCCCUUUCCUAAGGAUCUCUGACACACGGGAAAUGUCACCCUCUUAUAAAGAACUGAGAGCCAUUGGUGUUGGGGCCUGCGUUCGCCAUGGACAGGACACCUGUAAGACAAGCACGGAGUAAUGAAUGAGAAAGUUCUAGAGAAACCCAGUAAGAGAUGCUGAGCUGCCUGGAUGCUAACAGAAGGAGCAUGACAAGGAUGCCGGGCAAGUGUGGACCAUAGCGACGGGAUGAACAGCAAGAGCGCUGGACAGGGCUCCGCCCCACAGACCUGGCCCCACAUGCUUCAGUGUGAAGUUCUCGUCGGGAAAGCGGCUUCCGUAGAUGGACCUCCCUCCUGUGCCAUUGUGGUUGGUGAAGUCGCCAGCCUGUACACAGAGGACCUUGUCACUAAUUACCACAGCUGGCAGAGGGACAAGGGUCCCCUAGGAAGACAGCCCUCAACGCUCUCAAGGCUCGCCCUCAGGCAAAAGGGCCAACAAAACUAAAACCAAGCUUCUGCAUUUGUAACCAUGCCGUAACAAGUCUGGUUUCUGAACAAAAAGUAUCCUGUCUGAGCUAGUUUUUUUCUGUAAACCUCAAGAAACGUGCCUGAGCUAUUCAGAUUCUCAACCCACAAUUCCUAAGAGGACCACAAGCAGGUGACCAGGGGUCCUGUUCUCAGAGCCAGGCAGUAGGAGACAACCAGUUCCCCGCCCGAAUCCUCUUCUAUGCUCCAGCAUCACCCUCCCAAAGCCCAACAGCUUUGUAGACACAUGCUCCAUGGGGGUAGGUGCUUUUCUCAGAGCCUGCUCAGUGUCGGAGGACAUUUUUGUGCACUGUGUACUCAAUCGCUGAUUUCUGUAUUCAGAUUCUGGUUGCCGUCUGGAUUUUGGUAUUGUCAUUAUCAUGACACAUCUGACUCAGUAUUUUGUAAAACACUGUACUCGAUCACUAAAAUAAAGAGCUGAACAGCCUGUAGCUCAGCAGAAGAAAAGGCGGGACUUGAUGGCCAGAGAGAGGGAGAGGGUCUCAGAGGGGAGAAGGGGAGUUGCCAUUGGGACAUGAAUGAUGAAGGAGGUGCCAGGGUGAGACUAAAAUGGCAGGUAACGAGCCACGUGGCUAGGAAGUAGUUUAAGGCCAGUAUUAUUGUGUUAGAAUAGCUCAGAUUCUGCCCAGUUAUACUGCCUGAAGCCUUUAAUAAAUAUAAAGGUCUCUGUGUCAUUAAUCAGAGCAAGGGUGGGCUUAAGAAAGUCCUAACUUUUACAGUCCAGACAGCCUAGGAAGGACCUCCCUGCAAUUCUUGCCCAGAAGAGUAUAGGAACACUUCUAUGCCACAGCCACAGCUCCGCCUACCUCUCCUUCACUUUGUCACAACCAAUGUGUAACCAAAGCACUGUAGAGUGACAGUAGGCACAGCUCCAACCCACUGCUGCUUGGCUCCAGUGGAGAGAACAGGCAGAGAGGACUUCAGAGAGGCCAAGACAUCCAUGCCUGCCUCAAGCUCUCCUCAACCUCCAACCUCGAGUCUGCCCAUGAGGGUUUUGCUGCCAACACCUAGCCUGAAACCUGAUGCAGCAAUACUGGGAAGGCACCUCCAAGUCCC